CUUUUUUCCUUUUGUUCAGUGCCAUGUGUGCUUGACUUAGCAUUGUCAUCCAUUUCAACAUCACGUAACUUGGAAAAGGUUAUUUGGUGUGUAGUAUCCCUCGAUCUUCUGAUCAUGCCCUUGCUAGAAAUCCUGUUGAAAAUGUCCCUGAUCAGUGAUAAACCAUCACUUCAAUGUGCUUUCCCAUAAACUUCAGUUAUUAGCAAGUACUUAGUGCAUAUAACAGCUACUUCAUGGAUAUUUCAUAUUCUAUGGUUUAAGUACAAAUCUUACCUUUUCAAAUAGACCAUUUAUCAAAAAUAUUUUCUCCCUGUCUUCCAUCAACUUGAUCAAUGAAGUAAAGCAUAUUCUCAGGAAAUAAUUAGGGUUUUUUUUUUUUGUUACAAUCUGUUCUCUGUAAAAUCCUAUCUAAUGCCAGUUGUCAUAUAAGCUGUAUUUCACAGAAUCACAGAAUGGUUGAAGUUGGAAGGGACCUCUAUAGGUCAUCUCUUCUAACCUGUAGCUCAAUCAGGAACACUUAGAGCAGGUUGUCUGGGAUCAGGCUUUUGAAGAUGUCCAAAGAAGGAUGCUCCUGGGCAACUUGUACCAGUGCUCUGUCACAGGAAGGAGGUGCUUCUUGAUGUUUAGUCUAAGCUUCCGACAGAUGUCAGCUCUGUCAGAUUAGUCAAGAAGGAGACAGAAGAGAACUGGCAAACAUUUUGACUUUGGUCUUUCUGCGCUUUAUCAAAAUCUAUUGCUCCGUUUGCAGCUUUCUAAAAGUCAACUUAGGAAAUCUGCACCUGUAGAUCUCAAAGCAG